AAUAGUUCUAUGUCACAUCAGUAUUUUCAUUUUGAGUUUCAACAUUUUCAUCUUGAAAAAAAUCAAUUUCAAAUUAAAAUUCUUAAAUUCAAGAUAAAAUUACUGAUGUGUCAUAAAACUAUU
rfam:Gossypium raimondii Chr13_contig_991, whole genome shotgun sequence.